rnacentral:rRNA from 1 species
UGGUCUGAGAGGAUGAUCAGUCACACUGGAACUGAGACACGGUCCAGACUCCUACGGGAGGCAGCAGUGGGGAAUAUUGGACAAUGGGCGAAAGCCUGAUCCAGCCAUGCCGCGUGUGUGAAGAAGGUCUUCGGAUUGUAAAGCACUUUAAGUUGGGAGGAAGGGCAUUAACCAUUACGUUAGUGUUUUGACGUUACCGACAGAAUAAGCACCGGCUAACUUCGUGCCAGCAGCCGCGGUAAU